AAUCCAGACUCCUACGGGAGGCAGCAGUGAGGAAUAUUGGUCAAUGGGCUUACGCCUGAACCAGCCAAGUCGCGUGAGGGAAGACUGCCCUAUGGGUUGUAAACCUCUUUUGUCGGGGAGCAAAAGCCGGACGUGUCCGGCUGUGAGAGUACCCGAAGAAAAAGCAUCGGCUAACUCCGUGCCAGCAGCCGCGGUAAUACGGAGGAUGCGAGCGUUAUCCGGAUUUAUUGGGUUUAAAGGGUGCGUAGGCGGGCUUUUAAGUCAGCGGUAAAAAUUCGGGGCUCAACCCCGUCCGGCCGUUGAAACUGGGGGCCUUGAGUGGGCGAGAAGAAGGCGGAAUGCGUGGUGUAGCGGUGAAAUGCAUAGAUAUCACGCAGAACCCCGAUUGCGAAGGCAGCCUUCCGGCGCCCAACUGACGCUGAAGCACGAAAGCGUGGGUAUCGAACAGGAUUAGAUACCCGCGUAC
rnacentral:rRNA from 1 species